rnacentral:tRNA from 1 species
AGAGAAAGACGACUUUUUGACUAAGUUUCCAAUGUGUUUACUUAUGCUGUCAUUUUUUUUAUAGUACCCUAAUAAAUAGAGUCUCGUAGCUCAGCUGGUUAGAGCGCUACACUAAUAAUGUAGAGGUCGGCAGUUCGAGUCUGCCCGAGACUACUAGAAACGCUGUUUUGUUUUAAAUUAGGGGGAUUAGCUCAGCUGGCUAGAGCGCCUGCCUUGCACGCAGGAGGUCAUCGGUUCGAUUCCGAUAUUCUCCACUAUAAUCUCUUAAUUUUUUAUUAAGAGAAUGUUCAUUGACAUAUUGAAAAUAUCAAGUAUAAUUUAAAUUUUAUUUGUUAUCCAAUUAUGAUAAAAUUUGAUUGUACGAGUUAACGUAAAGUGGUAAUCAAUACUGUUAUUAUUGAUUACUAAAUAAUUUUACAAUUUAAGAAAGAGUUAAGAGUUACUUGUAACUUUUAAAUAAGUUAC